rnacentral:lncRNA from 10 species
UGGCAGAGCAAGAUUCUGUCUCAAAAAAAUUUUGUGAAUUAACAAAUUAGCACUGACUUAUUUUUAUUAGAAAGGUCUUCUAUUGUAAAAUAUACUCAUGGUAUGUACACAAGACUAGACAAAGUCAGUUCUGGAACAAAAAAUAGUGUAAUACCUCUGAUCAUGAGCGUGCCUCACAGUCUUAGUCAAAUAGUAGUCUUACAGAAGAUAUUUUGAAAGACCAAACCGUUUCAUAGGUUGUUCAGAAAGUGUCAUUAAAUGUUAUACAAAAUAGAACAAAUGUGUCCUGGGAUAAAUCCUAGAAAUAACCUGCAGUCAUUACACUGUCACUUCUCUGCCUCCAAGCCUGUGCUAUAAAAUUCGAUAAAAAGAGCACUGCAAAAUAGAAAUGAAAAAGUUUGAAUUAUCUCUUAUAGUUCUAUUCUAAAGUGAAGUAUAAAGUACAUAUUCUUUGGAAAAGAGGACCAGGUGAUAUAAGAAUUCCAGAGGAGGGCAGCAAAGAUAGACAGUAGAAUUAACACAGGUGAAAAGAACAGAGAAUCUUACUUUACAAAUCCUGUAAAUUUUCACAAUAGUGAGUGUUCUUAUGGUGGAGCAUCCCUUACCAUUCUGUUAUUCAUUGGUUUUCUAAAAUGAAAUAUGAAACCACACAUAAUUAACCUCUUUAUCUUAAUCUAUUUCUGUAUCCAUUUAAGUAUAUUUGAAAGGCCUAUAGUUGUUUGCACUUCUAAAGAAUAUUAUGGUAGAGUUGUCACAGCUGGAGCUUAUAUGACUUAAUUUAGUCUUUUAUUCAACAGAUAUUUAUUGACUGUCUGCUAUGUGCAUUGCGUUAGGUGGUAGGGAUAUGACGUUUAAUUUCAUUGGAAAAAUAAUGCCUAAUUUCUUAAAGCUUUUACCGGGUUAGUGAAUUAUUCAUAAACUGACGUGCAUUAGCAGUUAUACCCAUUGAUAGCAUUGUCACUAUUCACUUAUAAUCUGAUAUGAAAAUGGAAUGAAGUUACAGCUGGCAGACCAGAACUUGUGUUUAACUCUGAACAUACCUAUAGGAAAGCAUGAUAUUUAGAGCAAAAACAUAAACAGCUUAAGAAUGGGGUUUUGUAAAAUAUUUACCUUUGGUUCUAAUUUGUGUCUGUGUCACUAGAUGAUAGACUGGUUCUGGUGAAAAAAAAUAGACUAAAUAAAAUACUUUGAUAAAAACAGCUGCAUUUUACCUGUUUUUCUAAUUCUUAUCAGCAAGUUUGAUACUCUGAGGUAUGACAAG